AUGUCCUCGAAGCUUCUCCGGCUGCGUACCGCCAGGCAACGCCACUUCCUGCCGCCGCCGCUGCUGCAGCUCGUCCCCGUCCUCCUGCUCCUGCCGCCGUCACGCCCGGCGUCGGCGGCGGCGGCGACGGCGGUCACGCACCUUCCCGGAUUCGAUGGCCCUCUGCCCUUCAACCUUGAAACAGGGUACGUGGGCGUGGAGGAGGAGACCGGGGCGGAGCUUUUCUACUAUUUCGUCGAGUCGGAGAGGAGCCCCGGCACCGACCCUCUGCUCCUAUGGCUCACCGGCGGUCCCCGCUGCUCGAUCAUCAUGGGCCUGGCCUUUGAAAUCGGUCCUCUGAAGUUUGUGUUGGCACCGUAUAGUGGCGGUUUGCCGGAGUUGGUGUAUAACCCAUAUUCAUGGACAAAGAUGGCAAACAUACUCUUAUUGGAUUCACCGGUCGGUUCCGGUUUUUCGUUCGCUCGUGAUCCCAAAGGCUACUAUGUUGGGGACUACUCGUCAUCUUCGCAGGUCCAAACAUUUCUAAAUAAGUGGUUCACGGAUCAUCCGCAGUACCUUUCAAAUCCUUUCUACAUUGGUGGAGAUUCAUAUGCUGGAAAGGUGAUUCCACUUAUUGCACAAGGCAUUUCAGAAGGAAUUGACAUGAGGCAGCAACCUGUCAUCAAUCUCAAGGGAUAUAUGGUUGGCAACCCUAUAGCAGAUCCAAAGUUUGAUGAAAAUUACAAAAUUCCUAGUGCUCAUGGCUUUGGGAUAAUAUCUGAUCAAAUAUAUGAGAGUGCUGUGAAGAAUUGCAAAGGAGAUUACGUUAACCCCGUGAAUGAAAUGUGUGUUGAAGUGUUGCAUACUAUCAAUAAUACAUAUGGUUACUAUCUGGCUUACUUUUGGAUGAACAACAACAUGACUAGAAAAGCUCUUGGGAUCAAGGAGGGAACAACGAGUGAGUGGAUACAAUGCAACAUAGGGCUCCCCUACACAUACGAGACACCGAGCAGUAUACCGUAUCAUCUCAACCUCACUAUGAAAGGUUAUCGUGCACUUGUGUACAGCGGAGACCAUGAUCUCGAGGCGCCAUUUCUUGGCACACAAGCAUGGAUAAGAUCCUUGAACUUUUCCAUCGUUGCUGACUGGAGAGCAUGGCAUCUUAGUGGGCAGGCUGCUGGAUUUACCAUAGAAUACACAAACAAUAUGACAUUUGCCACAGUGAAGGGUGCUGGUCAUACUGCUCCAGAGUACCGGCCUAAAGAAUGUUUCGCCAUGGCUCAAAGGUGGUUGGACAAUGAGCCUCUCUGA
rnacentral:rRNA from 1 species